rnacentral:rRNA from 1 species
UACGUAGGGUGCAAGCGUUAAUCGGAAUUACUGGGCGUAAAGCGUGCGCAGGCGGUUGUGCAAGACAGAUGUGAAAUCCCCGGGCUCAACCUGGGAAUUGCAUUUGUGACUGCACGGCUAGAGUGUGUCAGAGGGGGGUAGAAUUCCACGUGUAGCAGUGAAAUGCGUAGAGAUGUGGAGGAAUACCGAUGGCGAAGGCAGCCCCCUGGGAUAACACUGA